rnacentral:rRNA from 1 species
GAUGCAAGCGUUAUCCGGAUUCAUUGGGUUUAAAGGGUGCGUAGGCGGACUGAUAAGUCAGUGGUGAAAUCUCUUUGCUUAACAAAGAAACUGCCAUUGAUACUGUCGGUCUAGAGUAUAGAUGACGUUGGCGGAAUAUGACAUGUAGUGGUGAAAUACUUAGAUAUGUCAUAGAACACCGAUUGCGAAGGCAGCUAACGAAACUAUAACUGACGCUGAGGCACGAAAGUGCGGGGAUCAAACAGG